rnacentral:rRNA from 1 species
GGACCCGCACAAGUAGUGGAGCAUGUGGUUUAAUUCGAAGAUACGCGCAGAACCUUACCAACACUUGACAUGUUCGUCGCGGCUCUAAGAGAUUAGAGCUUUCGGUUCGGCCGGACGAAACACAGGUGCUGCAUGGCUGUCGUCAGCUCGUGUCGUGAGAUGUUGGGUUAAGUCCCGCAACGAGCGCAACCCUCACUUUUAGUUGCCAUCAUUUAGUUGGGCACUCUGAAAGAACUGCCAGUGAUAAGCUGGAGGAAGGUGGGGAUGACGUCAAGUCCUCAUGGCCCUUACGUGUUGGGCUACACACGUGCUACAAUGGCAUUUACAAUAGGAAGCAAGAUGGCGACGUCAAGCAAAUCCUAAAAAGAUGCCUCAGUUCGGAUUGUACUCUGCAACUCGAGUACAUGAAGCUGGAAUUACUAGUAAUCGC